GAGCAAAACUCCAUCUCAAAAAAGAAAAAAAGAAAAAAGAAAAGAAAAGACACAACACAGAGAGGAUUCUUCUGCCAGAAGUCACCAUCUCUGGGCCCCAGUGAGCUCCAUGACUGCACCCUCUUCAGGCUCCACGUUAUGCCUCAAGUCCUGCAGCUAACUCAACAGUCUGAAGAGCUUCCUGUUCUGUGCCUUCACCUGGACAGCUAGUCCUCAAUUCCCGUUUUCCCACCUCCUUAAGCAGUGGACUGGGUCAGAGCCACUAUACAGGGUACAUCUGGGCAUCUCCCUCCUGGAACACGAGCUUAAGAAUCCUCACCUGCAAGGCGGCGAGUGAGGUGACAAGUGAAAAUACCAAGCAAGCCUGGCACGGAGGAAAAACUCAAAAGAUGCCGGCUGAAGUGCGGCCUGGGCUUCAACCGCAGUUUAAGAUUCACCCCGUCUUGUAUAGCAUCGCUAUUUCUCAUCGGAAGAAGGAAAGGAAAGGAAAGGCAAGGGAAAGGAAAGGGAGAAGAGAAGAGAAGAGAAGAGAGGAGAAGAGAUAACACAGAGAGGAUUCUUCUUUUCUAAAGAGGAUUCUUCUGCCAGACGUCGCCAUCUCUGGGCCCCAGUGAGCUCCGUGACUGCACCCUCUUCAGGCUCCACCCUCUUCAGACCCCCACGGGGGUCUGUCGUGGGCUGGAACACUCUUGGCUAUUUCUCAUCGGAAGAAAUAGCGAUGAUCUAUUUUUUCAAAUUUUUAGGUAAAACAUAAAUCUUAGUGGUACUGUU